GCGGCGUGCCUAAUACAUGCAAGUAGAACGCUGAAGGAGGAGCUUGCUCUUCUGGAUGAGUUGCGAACGGGUGAGUAACGCGUAGGUAACCUGCCUGGUAGCGGGGGAUAACUAUUGGAAACGAUAGCUAAUACCGCAUAAGAGUAGAUGUUGCAUGACAUUUGCUUAAAAGGUGCAAUUGCAUCACUACCAGAUGGACCUGCGUUGUAUUAGCUAGUUGGUGGGGUAACGGCUCACCAAGGCGACGAUACAUAGCCGACCUGAGAGGGUGAUCGGCCACACUGGGACUGAGACACGGCCCAGACUCCUACGGGAGGCAGCAGUAGGGAAUCUUCGGCAAUGGACGGAAGUCUGACCGAGCAACGCCGCGUGAGUGAAGAAGGUUUUCGGAUCGUAAAGCUCUGUUGUAAGAGAAGAACGAGUGUGAGAGUGGAAAGUUCACACUGUGAC
rnacentral:rRNA from 1 species